rnacentral:lncRNA from 7 species
ACCUGUCCUUUUUUCCACCCCUCUUUUCAAAAAGGAAAGGCGCAUUUCUGAGCUUUCCCCCCUUUCUUUGAAUCAGCAGCUUUUCCAGAGGUUUUAUUUGAUAAUACCCAAAUCUCUGCUUAGAUCGUAGCUAACCGCUGCAAAAUGGGCACCCCUAAGUAUCACAGUCAAAAGGUGACUGAGGCACAAAGUAGGACUGGAGUUGGCUGAAAAGUGCUCCCAGCUGAAGGGCAGAAAACACCUGCAUCUAAUAAAAACAAACGAGAA